AGAUGACUUGAAGUGCCAGAGUUUUGCUCAGAGUGAUGACAGCCAGCGAGGCCUGCUGGGACAGCGCUCGGGCCGCGGAGCGGGCUCGGCACUCACCGCCUGCAGGGAGCACAAAGGCUCAGGGUUACCACUUAAACACCGGCAUUUUCUCUCCAUCGUUCCUACACACACGGGGAUUUGCAGAGCUGUUGCUGAACAAUAGGUCUCAGGAUAUAAAAGACAUGCUCGGAAGUUACCCCUUUUUAAGCACGUUAAGGAAAGAGACUUGGAUUUUUUUGCAUUUGCUUCCCUUUUUCUCUGCUUCCAGAUGUCCAAGACUGAAGGUUUUCUCCAGAUUUUUCGCAGUUCCAAAGAAGACUUCAGAUGCUAAAGUAGGAGAGUGAUGCUUGUUUCAUGCUGGAUGUUGAGAGAAGACUGUUUUCUUAAAGAUUCAUCCUUUUAAUGAAUUUAAAUAUAAUAAAGUUUUAGAGCUUUCAGUGGUUGGUUUCA
ensembl:lncRNA